rnacentral:rRNA from 1 species
GACGAACGCUGGCGGCGUGCCUAAUACAUGCAAGUUGAGCGCUGAAGGUUGGUACUUGUACCAACUGGAUGAGCAGCGAACGGGUGAGUAACGCGUGGGGAAUCUGCCUUUGAGCGGGGGACAACAUUUGGAAACGAAUGCUAAUACCGCAUAAAAACUUUAAACACAAGUUUUAAGUUUGAAAGAUGCAAUUGCAUCACUCAAAGAUGAUCCCGCGUUGUAUUAGCUAGUUGGUGAGGUAAAGGCUCACCAAGGCGAUGAUACAUAGCCGACCUGAGAGGGUGAUCGGCCACAUUGGGACUGAGAAACGGCCCAAAACCCUACGGGAGGCAGCAGUAGGGAAUCUUCGGCAAUGGACGAAAGUCUGACCGGGGCACGCCGCGGGAGUGAAGAAGGGUUUCGGAUCGUAAAACUCUGUUGGUAGAGAAGAACGUUGGUGAGAGUGGAAAGCUCAUCAAGUGACGGUAACUACCCAGAAAGGGACGGCUAACUACGUG